rnacentral:rRNA from 1 species
UACGUAGGGGGCAAGCGUUGUCCGGAUUUAUUGGGCGUAAAGAGCGUGUAGGCGGCCAUACAGGUCCGUUGUGAAAACUGGAGGCUUAACCUCCAGACGUCGAUGGAAACCGUAUGGCUAGAGUCCGGAAGAGGAGAGUGGAAUUCCUGGUGUAGCGGUGAAAUGCGCAGAUAUCAGGAAGAACACCCGUGGCGAAGGCGGCUCUCUGGGGCGGUACUGACGCUGAGACGCGAAAGCGUGGGGAGCGAACAGG